ACGGGGGGUGCAAGCGUUGUUCGGAAUCACUGGGCGUAAAGCGCGUGCAGGCGGCGUAACAAGUCAGAUGUGAAAUCCCUGGGCUUAACCCAGGAAGUGCAUUGGAAACUGUUUGGCUUGAGUAAGGGAGAGGAAGGUGGAAUUCCUGGUGUAGAGGUGAAAUUCGUAGAGAUCGGGAGGAACACCGGUGGCGAAGGCGACUUUCUGGACGGAUACUGACGCUGAGACGCGAAAGCGUGGGGAGCAAACAG
rnacentral:rRNA from 1 species